CCUGAUGUAGCUCAGUGGAAGAACACUUUUUGCCUACCAUGCACAAGGCCCUGAGUUCUAUCCUCAGCCCUGGGG
rnacentral:tRNA from 1 species